UACGGAGGGUCCGAGCGUUAUCCGGAAUCAUUGGGUUUAAAGGGUCCGUAGGCGGAUCAGUAAGUCAGGGGUGAAAGUUUGCGGCUCAACCGUAAAAUUGCCUUUGAUACUGCUGGUCUUGAGUUACGAUGAAGUGGCCGGAAUAUGUGGUGUAGCGGUGAAAUGCAUAGAUAUCACAUAGAACACCGAUUGCGAAGGCAGGUCACUAAUCGUGGACUGACGCUGAUGGACGAAAGCGUGGGGAGCAAACGGGAUUAGAUACCCCGGUAGUCCACGCCGUAAACGAUGGACACUAGCUGUCGGGCUUUAAAGUUCGGCGGCCAAGCGAAAGUGAUAAGUGUCCCACCUGGGGAGUACGUUCGCAAGAAUGAAACUCAAAGGAAUUGACGGGGGCCCGCACAAGCGGUGGAGCAUGUGGUUUAAUUCGAUGAUACGCGAGGAACCUUACCAGGGCUUAAAUGUAGUGGGACAGGCUUAGAGAUAGGCUUUUCUUCGGACUCAUUACAAGGUGCUGCAUGGUUGUCGUCAGCUCGUGCCGUGAGGUGUCAGGUUAAGUCCUAUAACGAGCGCAACCCUUACCGUUAGUUGCCAGCGAGUAGAGUCGGGGACUCUAACGGGACUGCCGGUGCAAACCGUGAGGAAGGUGGGGAUGACGUCAAAUCAUCACGGCCCUUACGUCCUGGGCUACACACGUGCUACAAUGGCCGGUACAAUGAGCAGCCACUUCGCAAGAAGGCGCGAAUCUAUAAAACCGGUCACAGUUCGGAUCGGGGUCUGCAACCCGACCCCGUGAAGCUGGAAUCGCUAGUAAUCGGAUAUCAGCCAUGAUCCGGUGAAUACGUUCCCGGGCCU
rnacentral:rRNA from 1 species